GGGGGCGUACCGGUUUCGACAGUUUUGACGAAAUUGAAGAGGCGGACGGAGCCGAGUAUCUCGCUAAACUGCUCAAAAAAAGAGAAGCAAACAACUUCGCACUCGCAGCGUAAACCAUACGCUGCCGUUCCGGCCUGUCUCGCCCGCGGGCGGGCCGGGGCGUCACCUUGCGGGCUAGCGCCGAGACGAGCGCCCGCUGCGUCGCGGCGCGAAAACAUGUGAGGGCCGACGGUGGCCUGUUUUGUCUGUUUUGAGGGCCGCCGGUCGUACUGAAAACAGACUAUGUCUGUAAAAUCUUCAAUGGAGUCAUUAUUGGACGCGGGUUCGAUUCCCGCCGCCUCCACUU
rnacentral:tmRNA from 1 species